GACGAACGCUGGCGGCGUGCUUAACACAUGCAAGUCGAACGGAAAGGCCCCUUUGGGGGUACUCGAGUGGCGAACGGGUGAGUAACACGUGAGUAACCUGCCCUUGACUUCGGGAUAACUUCAGGAAACUGGGGCUAAUACCGGAUAGGAAUCCUUGCUGCAUGGUGGGGGUUGGAAAGCUUCGGCGGUUUUGGAUGGACUCACGGCUUAUCAGCUUGUUGGUGGGGUAGAGGCUUACCAAGGCUUUGACGGGUAGCCGGCCUGAGAGGGCGACCGGCCACAUUGGGACUGAGAUACGGCCCAGACUCCUACGGGAGGCAGCAGUGGGGAAUAUUGCACAAUGGGCGGAAGCCUGAUGCAGCAACGCCGCGUGCGGGAUGACGGCCUUCGGGUUGUAAACCGCUUUCAGCAGGGGCGAAGCUUGUGGUGACGGUACCUGCAGAAGAAGCACCGGCUAACUACGUG
rnacentral:rRNA from 1 species